GCUGCUCAAGGAUGAAUCAAGUGCAAGUAAGAGUUUCUAUAUAGGCUUCUAGUCAUGUUUACUUGGAUUUGCAAAAUAAUGCUUCGUCCUCGAGUUAUGCCUAGUUUUGCUUACUUGGAAUGACAUUGCAGUCUUUUCAGAAGAGUGCGUAGGGAAACUUGUCCAUGGAGUGUUGCUACUCUAUUUAGUAGUUAGCUCUGCACUAGAACGCUAGCUAUUGGUAGCUGCAACAGUGAGAACAGAGCUGCAAGGCUCUAUACAGAUGCAACUAUUAACCUUGGCUUGAACUUUUGGCAUCGAUCGUUUUAACAACAAUCAUGGCCGAUCAUUACCCACUCUUUGAGUUUCUCUGUGAUCUUGGAUUCUGCCUGCAUGCAGCAAAUUCAAUGCAAGAUUGUUCAUCAAUAAUUAACCCUUUCCCGGCUUUGGACGACAUAUGUCGUCCAGCGGACCGAGAUUUUUCAAAAAUUUGCUGUGCAGGCUGUGUUGGAGCUAUGCGCACGCUGUAGGUACCAGCACAUGCGCAUUGAGCUGCUCUUUCACAUGGUAUUUUCAACAUCUUGCUUCGAGGUACCCUUUGUGCAGUACUGUCGAAAGAAAAGUGACCGUUUGAUGAUGACUUCAAGAUCUUUGUAGUACAACCUCAGUGGGGCUCUAGAGCGCUAGACAGUGAGAAUAUCGAUGCUUAUGGCCUUGUAGAGUGAGAGGACAGUGACUGGGAUCGUAGCUAGGUAGGAAGCUACCUCAAGCUAAAAAAUAAAGAGCCUGAGGAGCCUGAAGGAGCUAGACCAAGUUUCUGGAUCUGGUGAAGAACGUUUCCCGGGAAAAGGGCGUCUGCUGAUACGACCUCGCAGAGAAGUUUCGGCAGAUCCUGAUCGAACUAUGUCACCGUGAGAACAUUGAGAACACUUACUUAGUGUCUAUAGUCACUUUGUGCCUUCGUAUAAUAUUGUUUGUGUACAUAAUUGUGAAUGUUUGUAAACAAUC